AUGACAGUUUCCAUUGUUCCACAUGCUUACCAGCAGUUGGUAUUGUUAGUGUUCUGGGUUUUGGCCUUUCUAACAGGUGUGAAGCGAGGAAGAGAAAAAAAUUCCUGGAGCUGGUUCCGGAUUGAGGGCCUUGCGCCGAAGCUGGAUCCGGAGGAGAUGAAACGGAAGAUGCGCGAGGAUGUGAUCUCUUCCAUACGGAACUUUCUCAUCUACGUAGCCCUGCUGUGAGUCACUCCAUUUAUCUUAAAGAAAUUGGACAGCAUAUGAAGAUGGGAGAUCACAUAUGAAUGCAUGAUAUGAAGAGCCUGGUUACAGUUUCUACUCUUCUCUGCAAGUGAAUAGGCCCAGAAAGGUGUAAGAGAUUCUUUGAAUGGACAUAAAAUGUCUGCUUAUUAAGAACAAGUUCGGGUCUGGUAACUGACCUUCAAAUCUAAAAUAUAAAACUAUUUGGGAAGUAGGAAAAAAAAAAAAUUCCUGGAGCUGAAAUUUCCCCACCUACAUCUGGUCAGCCUCAAUCAGUCCAGACUUUGCUUCUAGCUUCCCAUGUGAUCUCAGAUAGGUCACUCAAAUUCACUGAGCCUCAGUUUUAUCAUGUGUGGGUUUGUGAGUGUAUGUGGUA